rnacentral:rRNA from 1 species
GACAGAGGUGCCGAGCGUUAGGCGGAAUCACUGGGCUUAAAGCGUGUGUAGGCGGGUCCGUUAGUACCUUGUGAAAUCCCACGGCUCAACCGUGGAACUGCUUGGUAUACUGCGGGUCUUGAGCCACUUAGGGGCAAGCGGAACAAACGGUGGAGCGGUGAAAUGCGUAGAUAUCGGGAGGAACACCGGUGGCGAAGGCGGUUCUCUGGGCCUGUACUGACGCUGAGGAGCGAAAGCGUGGGGAGCGAACAGG